CCGGCCACGCCCAGCAAGCCCCUCGAUCCGGCCACGCUCCAGCAGGCCCCUCCAUCUGGCCACGCUCAGCAAUCCCCGCUUCACCACGCCCAGCUCCAUCCGGUGCGUCCUGUGAAGAUGGCAAAAGAGAAAGCGAUAUGGGAUGCGGAAGCUGCUGCAAUUUUCUGCAAACUUUGUGUGAUUGAGAAAGUAACCAGGGAGCGAUAUGGGAUGCGGAAGCUACUGGUCGGGUAUCUAACAUUGUGCAUGGUGAUGAUGCUCUCAUGAAAGUAACUAGGGAGAGAAUAGCUGAUGAAUUAUUGACAGCUACAGAUGAAGUUUAGUUUUACGCACUGCUUUCGGGUGAUGGUUGAUGUACGUUUUGGAUGAUGGUUUGUAAUUGAACGUGCAUUUUGGAUGAUGGUUAUAGUUUCUUAAA